rnacentral:pre_miRNA from 1 species
AGUGGGAUAACUGGGUCAAAUGGUGUUUCUAUUCCGUUUUCUGAGGAAUCUCCAUAUUGCUUUUUGGAGUGGAUGCAUCAAUUUGCAGUCACACCAGCAAU